AGGGAUGAGGGUGGGCUGGUGUGAGACAGCCCUUGUGAACCACUAACACACUCUACACUGGGGGAUAACACUACUGUGAUGGAGCCUCUCUAAUACUACCACCUGAUUGAUCCAAUAGGAAGACUUCUCUUACAGCCAGUGAUACGGAGGCUGGAAAGGCUGCUGGUGGACCUGUUACACCAGGGAUGAGGAGGGAACUAUCUACCAGCAGCUGGGCCAGUUACCCAGGCUCUUGUACCACUGUCAUAUCAGUAGCUGAUUCCUGUCUUAUCAACAAGAGGAUUAUCAGGAUGUCACAGAGUCACUUACGAAUGGAAUAAAGAGAGAUAUUUGAUUCUAAUGGACACCAUUACUGUACCAUACUGAAUAAAAGUGUUAGAGCAUCACAAUCUUUUAGAUCAACUGUGGUGUGAUAAUGUCGAAAGAAAGUAUACAAAUAUGUGAUGUGACAGCCAUUGUGUGGCAUGACGAGUUUCAUGAUACUUCCAGUGUUGUAACUUCCUGAUUAGACCUCUGUGAGAACUCCGACAAGAACUCAGUGCUGGUUGGUGUAUGAUAGUUUCCUGAUAAGCUAAGUGUUGUGUUUAAUGGUGCGAUAGUUGUCAGAUUAGUAGUUUAUUAUGCAAAAGUUUCCAAUAAGCAGAUAUUUAUGUGUGUGAUAGUUUAAAAUAGGCUUCAUGUUGAGUAAUAAGUUUUACAAAAAAACAGCAAUAAAGCACAAGUCAUUUGAUAGUUUAUAUCAAAUUCAAGUUAUGUGUGCUACAUGAAUAUUCUCCUGAUUAUAAGCCAUGAAUUGUGUAAGAUUUUUGUAUUACACUACCAGAGAACAAAUAGUUCCCCACUCUAUGUAUUAUCAUGGCUCAAUAGGUUGCAAUUCAAUUGUACAAAUGCUAGAUUACAAGCAAUUCAGUCUGUUAGCUUAGCAGAUCUGAUGGUAUUGAUUUUCCCCAGUCUGAUUCUGGUAUUGGCCUCAUGGGGGUAGUUGGUUCAGGAGUCUGGCUUUGUGACGGAGACGAGAGUCUGUAACCCUGGCAUCUCCGUAUCAGGGACAUACUUGAACAAGUUUGUACUCAAAUGCAAUUUUCCAAGUAUUCCCCAAUGAAAUCAUAUUUGUUAGUGUCUUUGGGGAAAAAUUGGAACCAUAUUAUUUGUAUUUGAACACAACUGAAUUUGUUUGGUGUGUUUAGUUAUUAUUCAAUAAACUCCUGUCUAAACACUAAUUUGAUGUUUUGAAACAUGACUGUCUUUAACAAAAACAGAAUGACUGUUUUUAACUAAAACAGAAAUAAAAGUUAUCUUUUUGAAA